rnacentral:rRNA from 1 species
UCCUUAGCCAUAUCACCCUGCAACUCACAACUGGCAACCCACUGAAGCUCAGCAGGUGUGAGCCUGGUCAGUACCUGGAUGUGAGACCUCCUGGGAAAAACUAAGGUUGCUGCUGGAA